rnacentral:rRNA from 1 species
CAUACGGGUGGCUGCAGUGGGGAAUAUUGGACAAUGGGCGAAAGCCUGAUCCAGCCAUGCCGCGUGUGUGAAGAAGGCCUUCGGGUUGUAAAGCACUUUCAGUGGGGAAGAAAGCCUUGGGGCUAAUACCCUCGAGGAAGGACAUCACCCACAGAAGAAGCACCGGCUAACUCCGUGCCAGCAGCCGCGGUAAUACGGAGGGUGCGAGCGUUAAUCGGAAUUACUGGGCGUAAAGCGCGCGUAGGCGGUCUGAUAAGCCGGUUGUGAAAGCCCCGGGCUCAACCUGGGAACGGCAUCCGGAACUGUCAGGCUAGAGUGCAGGAGAGGAAGGUAGAAUUCCCGGUGUAGCGGUGAAAUGCGUAGAGAUCGGGAGGAAUACCAGUGGCGAAGGCGGCCUUCUGGACUGACACUGACGCUGAGGUGCGAAAGCGUGGGUAGCAAACAGGAUUAGAUACCCGAGUAGUC